AUUGAACGCUGGCGGCAGGCCUAACACAUGCCAGUCGAGCGGAUGAAGGGAGCUUGCUCCUGGAUUCAGCGGCGGACGGGUGAGUAAUGCCUAGGAAUCUGCCUGGUAGUGGGGGAUAACGUCCGGAAACGGGCGCUAAUACCGCAUACGUCCUGAGGGAGAAAGUGGGGGAUCUUUGGACCUCACGCUAUCAGAUGAGCCUAGGUCGGAUUAGCUAGUUGGUGGGGUAAAGGCCUACCAAGGCGACGAUCCGUAACUGGUCUGAGAGGAUGAUCAGUCACACUAGAACUUAGACACGGUCCAGACUCCUACGGGAGGCAGCAGUGGGGUAUAUUGGACAAUGGGCGAAAGCCUGAUCCAGCCAUGCCGCGUGUGUGAAGGAGGUCUUCGGAUUGUAAAGCACUUUAAGUUGGGAGGAAGGGCAGUAAGUUAAUACCUUGCUGUUUUGACGGUACCAACAGAAUAAGCACCGGCUAACUUCGUG
rnacentral:rRNA from 1 species